GAUGAACGCUGGCGGCGUGCUUAACACAUGCAAGUCGAGCGAAGCAGUUAAGUUGAUUUCUUCGGAUUGAUUCUUAACUGACUGAGCGGCGGACGGGUGAGUAACGCGUGGGUGACCUGCCCCAUACCGGGGGAUAACAGCUGGAAACGGCUGCUAAUACCGCAUAAGCGCACAGAGCUGCAUGGCUCAGUGUGAAAAACUCCGGUGGUAUGGGAUGGGCCCGCGUCUGAUUAGGCAGUUGGCGGGGUAACGGCCCACCAAACCGACGAUCAGUAGCCGGCCUGAGAGGGCGACCGGCCACAUUGGGACUGAGACACGGCCCAAACUCCUACGGGAGGCAGCAGUGGGGAAUAUUGCACAAUGGGGGAAACCCUGAUGCAGCGACGCCGCGUGAGCGAAGAAGUAUUUCGGUAUGUAAAGCUCUAUCAGCAGGGAAGAUAAUGACGGU
rnacentral:rRNA from 1 species